CACCAUUGUUUUUUAAAACGAUCUAACUUGUCCAUUCCCAAGCUGUAGGAGAGUGAGAUGCUAUGGUGAGAGAGAAAGUUCUCCAGAAGAAGGUAGAAUAUCAACUCAUCUUCUGUUUGCUUUGGGUUUGCAAUCUCCACAUUCAUGUUCUGAUCCCACUUUUUGUUUUUGUUCUUUGCCAAUCAUCUUCUCUAUCUUUUAUAAAUGCUAAUUGUGUCUUUCUUAAGAAUGAUAUAUACUUUGGCCAUGUGAAGCCGAAGAUGUAUUUACAGGGAAGUCCUACUAAUAUUCCAUCUAUGGGUAAAUGUAUUCACUUUGAUCUUUGGAGGGUAAUUAUGAAGUUCACAGAAACUUUGAGAAAAUAAUAGCUUUUCUCUUUGUUGAGCAG
rnacentral:lncRNA from 1 species